rnacentral:rRNA from 1 species
UACGAAGGGGGCGAGCGUUGUUCGGAAUCACUGGGCGUAAAGGGCGCGUAGGCGGCCCUCCUUGUCGCGUGUGAAAGCCCCGGGCUCAACCUGGGAACGGCGCGCGAGACGGGGGGGCUGGAGUUCGGGAGAGGAGCGUGGAAUUCCCAGUGUAGAGGUGAAAUUCGUAGAUAUUGGGAAGAACACCGGUGGCGAAGGCGGCGCUCUGGACCGAGACUGACGCUGAGGUGCGAAAGCGUGGGGAGCAAACAGG